rnacentral:misc_RNA from 1 species
AAGUCGUAACAAGGUUUCCGUAGGUGAACCUGCGGAAGGAUCAUUAUCGUAGGGGCUUCGGCCCUGUCGAGAUAGACCCUUGCCUUUAUGAGUACCGUCCGUUUCCUCGGCAGGUCUGCUGCCGAGGACAAAAAAAUAAACCCUUACCACCUGAUCAGUUGAAAAAAUAAAUAAAAAUUAAA